UCACAUAGGUACAGAAUAGGACCAUUUGAAGUAGAAAGUGCAUUAUUAGAACAUCCAGCUGUACUGGAAUCAGCUGUUGUCAGCAGUCCUGAUUAUAAUAGAGGAGAGGUUGUUAAAGCUUUUGUCACUCUAACUGAACCAUUCAAGAUGGCUGACAAAGAACAGCUUGCUAAAGAGUUGCAAGAACAUGUGAAAAAAGUCACUGCUCCAUACAAAUAUCCAAGAAAAAUUGAGUUUGUGGAUACAUUGCCAAAAACAGUUAGUGGAAAGAUAAGGCGUGUGGAGCUGCGUAAUAAAGAAUGGGGCAGAGAUGAAGAAUAACUUGUCUUACAGAAAAUAAUAAAAAGCCAUUUUUGUGUCGCCUCUACGGAGUAGUGGCGACAUAUAGGGAUCACUUCUCCGUCGUCUGUCUGUUUGUCUGUCUGUCCGUCUGUUUGUCCGUCCGUCCGUCCGUCACAAAACUUGUCCGGACUACUCCUCAUAAACUACUGGUGCAAUUUCAUCCAAACUGGAAUGAUCAGUACCAAGUCUAGUUGUGCAUAUUGUCAGCAUUUUCCGGUUCAAUGAUUUUUGUCAGAGUUAUGGCCCUUUAAUAAUUUUUAUUUUUAAAGUUUGUCUGGACUACUUUUCUUAUACCACUAAUGCAAUUUCAAUGAAACUUUACAGGAUUGAUCUGUAGCUCAAGUCCUUGCGCAUAUUGCACGGGUUUUCCGGUUGAAUGAUUUUUGGCCGAGUUAUGGCCCUUUGAUAAAAAGGUGUUUUUUACUGUGUGUUGCCAGAUACGCAAAAGCUUGUCCGGACUACUCUUCAUAAACUACUGGUGCAAUUUUAUCCAAACUUUACAGGAAUGAUCAGUACCAAGUCUAGUUGUGCACUGUCCGUCUGUCACAAAAUUUGUCCCAACAUGAAAUUGGCCAUCAUGAGGCGACACAUGUGAUUACUGAUGGCUCUUGUAAUAGUGACUGUGUGACAUAACUUGGUAUAAUUGCAAAUGAUUGUGAUGUUAAGUCUUUAAAUGAUAAGAAAAAACAAAUAACAACGCCAUAACGUGUUGAGUGCAAUUAACGCGUGUUUUGUUAUUACCAGAUGUUUGUGUGCCUUGAUGUUAAUGUUUAAGUCUUUAAAAGAUUAAAUAAAACAUGGUUUUCUAAAAUGGUGGCUUUGUAAAAAGUUACUAUUAUGUUGUUUAUACAGUUUAUAUGUGAAAUGAAAUUUGAACAAAAUUUGUUGUUACUAUAUUGCAUUUUGACUUUUAUUAGACUUAGUUUUUGCAAGCAUUGAUAAAUUUUGUCUAGAUUGACUUUUUAAUGACUUUUUAUAAUUGUGUUGAAAAUUUAAAAUGUUGUUAUUUAUUCAGGAAAAACUAACAUGUUACAAAAACUGCCUUACCCCUUGUUCUGCUGAUGAGCCUUUGCCACCAGUGUCGAUAUAUGCAUAAAAAAUCUUUAUAUUAAUAGAUCUAUUUUUUUUUUUUAUAAAUAGAUUUAUUUUUGUACAACUUUUAUUGGAGGUUGUAAUACUUUUGAAAUACAUUCACAUUUUCAAAAGUAUUUUCAAUUUAUCAAUAUAUAUCAAUAGAUGUUUACUAUGAAAUCCGUAAUUCAGAAAAUUUGUCUGUAAUUUUGUAACUCUUUUGUAUCAAAUCAGAUGGUUUUUCUCACAUUGUUGUUAAUCAUACAGUAAGCAUACACAUGUUAACAUAUUUUCAUGUAUAAAAUUUUAAUGUUUUUAUAUAAAAUGAAAAAACCUAUUGCUAUAUGGUUUUUGUUAGUUGAUAUUUUCAUAAUUAAUAAUGAAUCCUGUAUAAAACUAUGGACGUCCUUGGUAUUCUGUUUUUUUCCCAGUAUUAUGUGGCUCUUUUUCAUUGUCAUGUUGUCGACAUUUGUUUUUAUCCUUUACAGAGUUUUUACUAAAAAAAUAAGUUAAUAGUUCUUAUUACAGAUUUUCACUAGAAAAUAGGUUAAUUAUUAUUGUUUGAUGUCCUUAUAAUUUGAUGAUUGAUUAAAAUUUCUUGAAUGCACCCUAUAAUUCAACGGCCAAGCCGUUGUUUCUUUGUGCAAGAAACUUUACAUUUAUUGAUCAGUACUAGUUGGUUCCAGGAACAGAUUUGAGAGUGUGUCUAUGAGCUUAUAGCUUUCUACACUAUCAAACUAAAAUCAAUUCUGUAUAAAUCUAAGAAAUAUAUGUCUAUUUGUGAUUUAAAGGGUAUAAAGCUAUAUCUAAUGAAAUAUUUUUAUAGAAUUUAUUAACAGUAAAAUUUUACAACUUCCAUAAUGCUCAAAAGAGUUUUAGAAUAGAUUGUCCUUAUUAUAACAGAAUAUAUUGACCUUGAACAAAAUAUUAUGCUGCUAUUUUAAGUUGGAUUUUCACUGCUUAGCAGGGAUUUUCACUGCUUAGCAGGGAUUUUCACUGCUUAGCAGGGAUUUUCACUGCUUAGCAGGGAUUUUCUGAUUGACUUCACUUUUAAAGAAAAUAUACUGACAUAUUUCAUUCAUAUAAGCAUUUUGGAAGUAUUCUUUUUUCUAAAUUCAAGUCAUUAUUUAUAUAUAUAGCUUUAUACGCUAUAAUAUUUUCCUUUCAUGUAAACUUGGAAAGUUGUCAUAUCAAUUUUAACAACAGUGAACAAGCGAAAUUUUGACUGAAGUUCAAUUAUAACUUGGAUUUAUUUUUAAAAAAAACUAAAUUUAAGAAGACAGAUCAUUGAUUAUUGAUCCUAAUGACUGGUUUUUGAAUAUGAUCCUAAUUUUUAUCUGGAGUAUUAAUAUUGAAUUUGAUCUUAUUCUUGAUCCUUACUCUACCUUUUAUACUCAAUAUUGACUGGCAUUUUAAGGCACAUUAUGCCUCAGAAAUCCAUAUUUAUUACAUUCUUUAGAAAUAUCAAACAUGUGUUUAAUAAUGUUUGAAUAUGGAUUUAAAGUAUGUGACAUAUUUAACAGCUGAAGAAAGUAGCACUGAAUAUGCAGUAAUGUGUAGUAAAGGUAGAAAAAUGUAAACAAAUUAGUGUUUUGACUUCCACACAAAAUACUUAUUCACUAUAAUUAUACCAAUGGCCAAUGAAACAAAAGAAGCAAAGAUAGGUCAUGUAUUUGGCAAAUGAGUAUUUUUUGGAAACUGUAACAAGAUACCAAAAAUUUUAAGUUUUUGUAGAAUAAAAAUGAUAGCAUUUCUGAGAAAUACUGUGCCUUUAAGUCCGUUUUGUAGUAUUUUGGCAUGUCCAUCUAUUGAUAUUGAUAUAUUAAAUAACUGUUAUUUAACUUUUUUGUUCUGCAACUUUACACAGAAUUAUAUAAUUAUAUAUAUAUAUGCUAAUGAUAUUAAAUUAUAUUAUAUUGAAACUAGAAUGAUAUUCAUUUAAGAACUCAUAUUUGCACACAUAUUAAUAAUAUUUAAUUGCUGUUGUUGUUUCUACAAAUAUGUAGGAAAUUUUUAAAGCAUUUUUAGAUACAUUACGGUACUUUGAGAUUUACCCUGACCUUCCUAAUUUUAUAAAAUGGACUUGCCUUGCUUUGAAUUUUGACCAUCCCAUUUGUAGUCUCAGGGAUUUCAGUAAUCAAAACACUUAAAGUAACAUUGUCAGAUGCACAUAUUUGUAUGGCCCAGGUGGUUUACAAUGUUUAUCUGAUGUAAAAAGUACUGAAACUGUAGAAAUUGUGUGCAUUUUUGUGAAAUUAUUUAAAAGGCAUGAGAUAUUGAAAUUUUCCAACUUGGGUUACAUUGAUUGUUUAGAUAUUUAUCUAAAGAUAGAAAUGAUGUAAUACUUGAAGGACAGAUAUAUAUAUUUAAAGCCCCUAUUUAUGAAUAUGUUUCCCAUCUCCUCAAUUUUGUUAUUUUUUUAGCUGGAAGUGACCUUGACGGUAAGUUGUUUAUGCAUACACAUCUAUUUUAAUUAAGUUGAUCUAGCCAAUAAAGGAAUGUAAGGUAACUUGAAAAAAUCUAUGAGAUUUACAUUAAAACAUGCAAGACUUUAGUUCCAAGAUCAAGAUCAAAUUCACUGAGUAAUCUCUUAUGCUGUUCUAACUUUUGGUCAAGGUCAUACAUUGUUUGGAUAAACUUUUGUACAAAGGUCAUAACUUGAGGUCAAGGUCAUAUAUGUUGGACAUAAAAUAUUUUGCCAAGAUCAUAACUGAAAGUCAAUGUAAAACCGAUUUUGCAUGUUUCUUUUGCCAAGGUAAUAACUCAAGGCUAAGGUCAAACACUUUGGAUGUGAACUCUUGUCAAGGUCAUUACUCAAGGUCAUUUUUCAAGGUCAAACAUGGGAAACUCUUGCCAAAGUCAUAAUUUUGUUGGCAGUAACUAGCAGAGAAUACAGUUGGUAUCAAUACUUGUAGUAAUUAUAACAAUAGGUUGUGAUUUUCAGAACAUCAAUUUUGUGUAACAUUUCUAGGUAGUAUAUUUAAUAUAAUAACAUAAAUAAAUUUAUACAGAGAUAA